CUGGGAUUGGUCAAGACUUAGCUAUUGUUGCAGGUGCAUACUCCUACCUAAGUUAAGUUUUCAAUCUUGUCUACCUAUUAAGCUAGGCUGCAGGUCAUCCACAAGGACUCAAAUACUGAAGUACGGAAUCCUUCUCAGGCCAUAUUUAGUUCGCUUUAACAGGACUGAGGUUUAAAAGAUGAGCAGAAUAAUAGGAAAUAAUAAAAGAAACAGAUGAUUAGCCAGAGGUUUGGGGAAACCACUGAAAGAAUGUGUUGUUGUGGAAGCCAAAGGAAAAAGUUACUUUAAGAAGGAGGCAGAUGUUCAUGUAAAGUAAGGUCUUCUGUGCAAAGUUGUGUCCACCCCCAAAGUCUGAAGUGGCUCCAUUCACAAACUUACAUGGAAUUUGGACUUGGCCAUCUUUCCUUUCAAGAAUAUAUGGUCCAUCACAUACCCAACUUUGAUUGUAAAUGGAGAAGCACAGCAGCCAUGGCUUGAGGAAGAUAAAAUGACCAUGAGCUCAGACUCCUCAGGAAUGAGUGUCUGGUUGACUACAGCAGAAAUCAAGAAAGAACUCAAAGACUGAUGAGUUGCAUCCAGCACACACAGGAGCAGAGGGAAGGGGUUCCCACUGGCUAAUUUUUGGAAAUAUAAAAUCAUGCUUCCCGUUCAAGAGGUUCACUCUGGGUAUAGACGGCAUUUCUGAAAACAUGGCAUUGACUGACAUUAUUGACAGUGGACUGGGAAUGGAAAGAUCAGAGUUCUUUGCAUGGCUGAGCAUCUUACUUUUCCUUGAUCUUGGGAAGGAAGGCGCCUUCUCUGAUGGAGAUUAUCUGUCAGUGAAACUAGGUGGGUAGACCUGGAAACUUCCAGCUCCCACCUCCUAUUUAACUACAAAUCUAUAUACGUGUUCAUUUUUCCACUUUAUUUUAUUUUCUAGUCAUGAAGGCAAUUUUAUGUUUCAAAAUAAGAAUCCAUUUCCAGAGAAAGAAUUUGUUAAUUCAACUGUGCAGUUUAAAAGAUGAGGAAAAUAGUGAGUAAAGAAAAUACACAUGCAUGUGUGUACCUGCAGGCUUCCAGUACAAUACUUUCUCAGAACAAAUGUGUCAGAACUUGAAAGAAAAUGUUAUUAAAUUGCCAUGUCAUUGUCAUGCUCAACAUUCUUUCUCAAAAGGAGAGAAAGUAACCAUUGUUACUUAUUUAAUCUGUAGUAUAUUCUCAAAAUUCUAACCCUAAUGUGUAAUAGGUGUAUAUAUCAUAAUUGACCUUUGUGUGUGAUUUUUUUGCUGUUCGUUCUCCUGCUCCACUUUAAGCUGAGUACAGGUAGGCAAGGAAUCUCUCGAACACCAUUGUAUCUCUAGUGCUCUGCAGUUUCAAGUGCAUGUGCUCAAUAACUAUAUGUUGAAUCAAAUACAAUUGAAUUAAAUAGAGAAAUAGAGUCUGUGGAAUCAGGUUUUAUACCUAGACUAUGCAACUAGUGUUUGAAGUUAAGUGUGCCAG
rnacentral:lncRNA from 10 species